AAAAAAGAAGAAGAAGAAGAAGAAGUUUCACUAUGAAAGGGAGCAGUGAAACCAGAAAGUGCUGAGGUGGACAGGGGGUGACGGGGAGGAGCAUUAAGAUGAGACUGAAGGAGGGGAGCUUGGGGGCCAGCAGGCAGGAGCCAAAGCAGAAGAAAAAGAGGGAUGACUGCCGAAAUGAGAAAUGAAGCCCUCGUAGAGGAAAGGACACAGGGCCUGGCUGAUAAGGCUGAUAGGAUCUCAGUUACUCAGAAAAAAACAAGAAUUCUUACCACAUGUCAGUUUAGUUCUGCAUAUCAGAAACCUCCUGGACACUGUUAUCCCUUUCCUACAGAUGAGAAAAAUACCCUCCAGGGAAAUGAAAGGGUGGCCCAAGGUCAUAGAACAAGUGGAAGCCACUGCUGCUUCAUCAGUACAAGAGAGAGGAAGGAACAAAGUGCUGGGAGGUGAGAUUCAAGCAACAACACCUGGCAAAAGGAGAGCAAUCCCCAAAGUGACAGUUUUUCUCAUCCACAGGGCUUUAGCUGUGGGUUGUUUUUUGUUAGCCAAUGUGUCAGUGUUCGCCAGGUUACUCACUUUUCCUUCCUUGGUUACUUUCUCCCUAUUCCAGGUGUUCUACGUGGAUGAGAGGGCUAACUUGUAAAGAUCCCUAACAACUUCAAGGAAUUUCUCUCUUGCUGUUUAAAAAGUCUUUUCUCUCCUGUCAGUCUUGCAACGUGCAAAAAUAUAAUUGUUCAAAAACUCAGAUUCUAAUCAAAAUCUAAGGUGAACCCACCCUAAACAGGACAUCUGGUCAUUGUAUGAAAAACAAGUCCCUUUUUAUAAGGAGAAGGAAACAAAACCAGAUCUCCCAGACAUGGCUGUAAUGCUGUCUACCAAAACCCGUAAGAAAGACCACAGAUUCUGAUCAACAACUUGCAGGGAGGUAGCCGCUCUGCGUCCAGCUGGCGAGGUCCAAAGGUAGUGAAAUGAGAUGUUGCUUUGAGUCUCUAAAUUCCAGUGGAUAACAGAUGCCUCCAUGUACUUUUCUUUACAGUGCUUUAAGAACAAACUGUCAUUGACUAGUUAUAUUUUUUUCCAUCCAGGUCCAAAAAAUGUAUGUUAUUUUUUUCUUCCCACCUCCCACAUGCCAGCUAAAAAUCACUUCUUUCUUGUAUUCCAAUCUGUCUUCAAAUAGCUCCUCCAAAAAAAAGUUGCCAAACCAUAACUUUCUAUAAAUCUCAUGUAUAUUUCUUUCUUCUGCCAUAUUCCCUGAUACAUCAUUUAGAACAAGUGGUUUAUACCUUGUCACAGGAAGCAAUACUCUGUGCUUUGUAGCAUCUUCCUCAUUUGCCUUUUCUUUGCAGGUAAGUACGUGUGAUUAUGUUGAUGUUGGUGGUUGGGAAGGGUUCAUCUUUCUUUAUUCUCCCUCAAAAAUACAUUGUCUCUUGCUUUUCGGUUUACAUGUGGGCUUCCAUUUGGGAGGAAAAAUAGUGUAGAUAGCUCUGAAGGUAUAGCUGCCCAUUCAUUCAUUCAACAAACAAACAUUUUACUGUGUUUUGGCACUGUGUUAGGUGUAUGAUAAGCAGCAGUGAAAAAAAAAUGAUGGUUCAAGUACUUGGGAAACGGGUGGAGUUCCUUGUUCUUGACUUUGGCCUAGCCUAGCCUGGGAUGUUGUGGACAUUUGGAGAAUAAAUCAGUGGAUGAGAUCUCAAUAUCUAUCUCUCUCCACCCCCUCAACCUCUCUACUACUCUGCAUUUCAAAUAACAACAGUAUCAACUUAAAGCAUUGCUGUAAGAAGUAAAUAAGUUAAAAUCAUAAAUCAUUGAGAGCAGUGCCUGAAAUAUAGCAGAUACAAUAGCCAUAAGCUAUUGAUAUUAUUAAGAAGGGGGAGUGAUGGGAGGUGCAAUUUCAGAGAAAAAAUUCAAUUCAGGGUUCUCUAGGGAGGCGAAUGAAGUGAAGGAAUACAAUCUAUGUAUACUGUCUGUUCUUUAAAUAUUUAUUUAUUUGAAAUGAGGAGCUACAAAGAGAGAGAGAGACAGAGAGACAGAGAGAUCUUCCAUCUGUUGGUUCUCUCCCUGGAUGGCCACAGCAGCCAGAGCUGGGCCAGGUAGAAGCUAGAAGUCUGGAACUCCAUCUGGGUCUCCCACAUGAGGGGCAGGGGCCAAAUGUGUGAGCCAUCUUCCACUGCUUUCUCAGGUGCAUAGGCAGGGAGCUAGAUCAGAAGUGGAACAGCUGGGACUCAAACUAGUUCUUCCAUGUGAGACACUGGUGGCACAGGGCCACAAGGCUGGCCCCAUCUGUUGUAUUUUCUUUUUUUUUUUUUUAAGUAUUUUUUAAAGAUUUAUUUUAUUUAUUUGAAAGACAGAGUUACAGAGAGAGGUAGAGAGAGGUCUUCCAUCCGCUGGUUCACUCCCCAAAUGGCUGCAACAGCUGGAGCUGUGCUGAUCCAAAGCCAGGAGCCAGGAUCUUCUUCCGGGUCUCCCAUGUGGAUGCAGGGGCCCCAGGACUUGGGUCAUCUUCUACUGCUUUCCUAGACCAUAGCAGAGAGCUGGAUCAGAAGUGGAGCAACCAGGACUAGAAAUGGUGCCCAUAUGGGAUGCCAGCACUUCAGGCCAAGACUUUAAUUCACUGCGCCACAGCGCCAGCCUCUAUUGUAUUUUCUUGAGUCUACGUAUUCCAUGUCUGCAAAGAGUCUACAUAAGAAACUGGUAGCAGUGAUCCUUUGAACUUGAGGACAACAGUAUAAAGGCAACUCACUUUUUGCACCUUUGCUAUUUUCUUCUGACUACUGCCUAUUUAAAAAUAGAUAAAUAGGGGCUGGCAUUGGGGCAGAGCAGCUGACAACCGCUGCCUGUUAGCAUCCCAAAUGGGCACUAGUGCAUGUCCUGGCUGCUCCACUUCCAAUCCAGUUCCCUGCUAAUGGCCUGGGAAAAGCAGUGGAAGAUGGCCCAAGGGCUUGGACCCCUUCCACCCAUAUGGGAGACCCAGAUGAAACUCCUGGCUCCAGCCUGGCUCAGCCCUGGCUGUUUCCGUUAUCUGGGGUAUGAACCAUAGGGUAAAAAAUCUCUUUUUUUACUCCCUCUUGCUCUCUAACUCUUUCAAAUAAAUAAUAAAUAUUGAAAAAUUAAAAAUAUAUAAACUUAAAUAUUAAAAGGAAAGAAGCUGGGCAUUUGGUAUAGCAGUCCAGAUGCCACUUGGGAUGCCCACAGCUCAAAUUGGAAUGACUGGGUUCCACUUCUGGCUCCAGUCCUGAUUCCAGCUUCCUGCUGAUGCACACCCUGGGAGGCGGCCGGUGGUGGCUCCCUUAGCUGGGUCCCUGCUACCCAGAUGGGAGACCUAGACCUAGCACUUGCUUUUCCUUUUUAACUUCAUUUUCCCAACGCUUCUGUCCAAAAAGCCAACUACUUUUUUUUUGAAAUCAAAUCAAUUUACUAUAUCUUUUAAAGAUCAUUUCUAUUUAUUUCCACUUUUUAUUCAAAAUUCAGAGACACAGACCAUCAAGCAGUGUCUUAAUCACUACAUCAAUGCUCUCCAUCCCCAGAAAUGAUCUUUAAGGUGGAAUUCAAAAGAAUAUUUGAGGGAUCAGCAUUGUGGUGAGGCUACCGCCUGCGGUGCUGGCAUCCCAUGUAGGCACCAGUCGAGUCUCAGCUGCUCCUUUUCUCAUCUAGCUCUCUACUACUACGCCUGGAAAAGCAGCAGAAGAUGGCCAAGUACUUGAGGACCUGCCACCCAUGUGGGAGACCCAGAAGGAGUUCCAGGCUCCCAGCUUCUGCCUGGCCCAGUCCUGACGAGUGCAAUUCUAAACCGAAACUUGGAGCUGGAAUGAAUUUCCUCCCUUGAAGCAGAACUUCUGUUUGCCCAGCAGAGCAUACGAGUUUUUAUUACCAGAAGCUGCCUCUCAGGAUUGGGUAGGGACAGGUGGGCUGAGCAGAGAGGAGAUGCUCUCCACGCGGUUGGCAUGAGCUCUUGGCUACCAUCACUGGAAGUCCAUGCGGUGGAACAGCAAGCUCCAUAACUUGACAGGAACAAGGGGCCACAAACAGGCAUGAGGCCUUCACCUGCACCAGUCCGAGGCUGGAGCUCUUUGUUGGUGACUGUCUGCAGAGGUUACCUGAAGUCUCUGUUGGGGACAGCACAGCAUUUUUGUUAAACCACAGGCCUCAAGGCCACACUGAUAAGUUUAACUGCUUGGUUCAAAUCCUGGUCCCGCGGCACAGUAAACCUGCUUGCUUUCCUCGAAACAGGAAUAACAGUGUUUAUCUUAGGAGCUGUCCAGAUUAAAGCAGCUAAUAUACAUAAA